rnacentral:rRNA from 1 species
UGGGGAAUAUUGGGCAAUGGGCGAAAGCCUGACCCAGCGACGCCGCGUGGGCGAUGAAGGCCUUCGGGUUGUAAAGCCCCGUCAUGCGGAAAGAACGACCCUGUGACGCAUACUCACAGGGAGUGACGGUACCGCAGGAGGAAGCACCGGCUAACUCCGUGCCAGCAGCCGCGGUAAUACGGAGGGUGCAAGCGUUGUUCGGAAUUAUUGGGCGUAAAGGGCGCGUAGGCGGUAAUGUAAGUCAGAUGUGAAAUACUCCGGCUCAACCAGAGAACAGCAUCUGAAACUGCAUAACUAGAGUACAGAAGAGGGAAACGGAAUUCCCGGUGUAGAGGUGAAAUUCGUAGAUAUCGGGAGGAACACCAGUGGCGAAGGCGGUUUCCUGGUCUGAUACUGACGCUGAGGCGCGAAAGCGUGGGGAGCAAACAG